AUGGCGGCGUCGGGAGCGAAGAAGAAACAGCAGCAGCGAGCGGCCGCGGCGGGGGGAGCCGGGCGCAGGCGGCGCAAGGUCCCUGAUGCAGAGGAGAAAUCCUGGCAGAAAGCUGGCUCGAAGCUGAAUGAGGAGAUCUCCAGCGACUCCGAUGCAGAGAACCCUACAUUUGGUGGGAAGCGGAAGAAGGACAAUGAGGCAGAAGAGAUUGAAGAGACGGCACAGGAGAAGAAGCUGAGAUUAGCCAAACUUUACCUGGAGCAGCUUCGACAGCAGGAGGAGGAAAAGGCAGAAGAGGAGGCCUUGGAAAAGGACUUGGUUGCUGGCCGACUGAAGGAAGAUGUGCUUGAACAGAAGGGAAAACUGCAGCGACUGAUCGCCAAAGAUUUGCAGCCUCCAGAUACAGCAGCCAUCCGAGUGCUGCGAGGUCACCAGCUGCCCAUCACCUGCCUGGUCAUCGCUCCAGAUGACAAGUGCAUCUUCUCAGCUGCCAAAGAUUGCUCCAUCAUCAAAUGGGAUGUGGAGAGCGGGAAGAAGUUGCACGUGAUCCCUGGAGGGAAGAAGGGGACAGAGGCCCAGCACGUCGGCCACACAGCGCAUGUUCUCUCCAUGGCCAUCUCGUCAGAUGGCAAAUACCUGGCCACAGGAGACAGGAACAAACUGAUCAUGAUCUGGGAGGCUGUCACAUGCAAGCACCUGUAUAAAUUCACUGGCCAUCGAGACGCUGUGACGGGCUUGUCGUUCCAGAAGGGCACUCACCAGCUGUACAGCGCCUCGCACGAUCGCUCUGUCAAAGUCUGGAACGUGGCUGAGAACGCCUACGUGGAAACUCUGUUCGGGCACCAGGAUGCGAUCACGGGGCUGGACAGCCUGAGCCGGGAGUGCUGUGUCACGUCAGGCGGGCGAGACGGCACCGUCCGGGUCUGGAAGAUCCCUGAGGAGUCUCAGCUUGUGUUCUACGGGCACCAGGGCUCCAUCGACUGCGUCCAGCUGAUCAACGAGGAGCACAUGGUGUCCGGCGCGGACGACGGGUCGGUCGCCCUUUGGGGUCUUUCAAAGAAGAAGCCGCUCACGACGGUGAGGCAAGCGCACAGUAACCACGGCGCCCAGGGCCUGGAGCAGCCGUACUGGAUCUCCUCAGUGGCCACCCUGCUGAACAGUGACGUUGUAGCCACAGGUGCCUCGCGCUGUGAGACCCUCGCUUUUGCUGUUGCUUUGGGACUGGGGCGGAGAGGAAGGAUGCAGUACAUUGCAGGCCCCUGGCAGCUGGGCGAUCUUGGCUUCCUCUCUGGCUCUGGCUUUGGGCUUCCUCCCUGGCUCUUAUCCUCCCUGCAGCUUGGGCCAGCACUCUGUACAGCUGGGACAAUGCCUGUCUCGUGGGCAGGGGCCGGGUUACUGUUUGAAGUGCUCCGAGGGGCUCAGAUGGAAAGCGCCCUGGACGGGUCAUUCCUCAGGCUCCUAACUUCUCUCUUCUUCUGGGAACCUGGCUCUGCUUUCCUGGCAGCCCUGGGGAAUUUACCCACAACUGGCCCUAUGCUGCUCUCAACUAGCCCAGUCCCUGCCACUCCUACAACUCCUACCCCUGGCACUCUCAGGCUUGCCACCCUGGCUUAGAAACUAGCUGAGGAGUGGGGAAGUCCUGCUUGGAUGGGAAGGGAGUGGUUUGGGGCAGGCUGGGAGGGGGAGGGAAGGCUUGGUUUGAACUUGGAUCCAUGUCACAUACAAUAAAUGACUGGUGAGCUCGGAGCAAGAGGUAACUGCACCUGGGGUUCUGGGGACAUUGGCUGGGCCUCUCCAGAGAGCCACGGCCUUGUGACCAGUCUGUCCUGUGUGUCACUGGCAGGAGAUUGCUGCGUCGCUCUCCUCUCUGGUCCUGACUCGCUCCCUCAGAGUGAUGAGGAUCCACCGCCGCCUAACCCCAGGCAGGAUGGUGUUUUCCCCUGGAAUAGGCCAGCUUGCUGCUCCAAUUGCCCAGCCAGCAGCUUCAGCUUCCUGUGGUUCCCGUUGUGUUGGUAGGGUGGCAGGGAGGGGGAGCUGGGCUGUGUGGGGUUCCGGUCGUGGAUGCCAGCAGGGCUUGGUGUGGUGGCAGGGCUGUGGGCUGAGGGAGACCACGCUACCUUGGAUCGGUGCAGAGCGUGGCGGGGCCCGGGGGAGGCGCAGGGCCUGGCCGCCCAAGGCCCUCACAUUCUGCUCUGUGACCGCAGGCUCGCACAGCGCCAGCGUGCGGCUGUGGAAGUGCGGCGAGGGAUUCCGAAGGCUGGAGCCGCUCUUCGACAUCCCCCUGAUCGGCUUUGUCAAC